rnacentral:lncRNA from 1 species
UAGCUAGUAGCUAGCUGAGAUCUUACAAUUUGAAAUUCAAUACAUUCUUUUGUUACUUCAUAAAGAAACGGAGGAUGUUCUGAGUAUAGGAGGCCAACUCAUGUGAUAGUGGUUGCGGAGCCAUAGCCAGUCAAGAGGCUUGUUCUUGGUGAAGUUCACCAUGUGGGCCCAGGACAAGGACUGGGCUGGCGUGGAAAAGAUUCCAAGAGUCUCAAGGUUAGAGAAGUCGCCUAGUCCACCUCCCCUCUCUGCUUCUCACAGAAGGGUCUGCUGAACACUCUGGUGACAGAGAACUCACCCAACAUGUUCCAUGGCAGAGGCUUUUCAUUAGAUCAAGGUGACAUCUGUUUUACUGGAGCUUCCAACCACGUGUCCCAAUACUGCCCUUAGUCACAGGCAUCCAGGUCCUCUCUCUCAGGACAGCACUUUGAAUAAAUGAGGACAGCUCCCAUCCCCCUUUCUCCCAGUUGACUUUCCAGAAACAUCUCAUAUUGUUGUUGGCUUUCCACCAUUUUUCCUCUUCACUUCCUGGGCCUACUACUACACUGUGUGUCCUCCACUUGGUCUCUUCCUGAAAGCAACACUGUGCACAAUGUUCCUGGGGGCAGACUUAUUAAACCAAGUGGACCACUUCCUUCAUCUUAGGUGUCACAGCUCCAUCAAUGCAUCCUCAAAUCACAAUGAUUUUUCUGCACUUCACCCUACAGGUUCCUAUUUAACGUUACAUUGGCUAGGACAUUACUCAUUUACACACAGGCUCUGCUGAGCCCCAUCUUUGCCAAGACUCUGACUUCUGUUGUUUCAUUUAAAGAUGUAAGAACAGGGCCUCACAGUUCUUCCUAAGGAAUUUUACUUUGUGGCUGGGUGCGGUGGCUCACACCUGUAAUUCCAGCACUUUGGGAGGCCAAGUCAGGUGGAUGACUUGAGGUCAGGAGUUCGAGACCAGCCUGGCCAUCAUGAUGAAACCCCACCUCUACUAAAAAUACAAAAAUUAGCCGGGUGUGGUGGCAAGCACCUAUAUCCCAGCUACUUGGCAGGUUGAGGCAGGAGAAUCGCUUGAGCCCGGGAGGCAGAGGUUGCAGUGAGCCGAGAUCAUUGCACUCCAGCCUGGGCAACAGAGUGAGACUCCAUCUCAAACAAACAAACAAACAAAAAACAAAAACAACACAAAACAACAACAACAAAAACCAGAAAUUUUACUUUGCUACAUUCAGCCCAUAAUUUUUAGCAACCCAGAUCUUUCUGGAUCCUGGCUGUAUCUUCUCAGUGUGUUUCUUCUUCCUCCCAGUUUCCUGACCCCUGCAAAUAGGGCUGUAAAGAGGCUCUCUGAUGCUGCACCCCCUCCCUCAUUGCCACCAUGCAAAUCACAGAGGACCCCCACCAGGCCAGACUGGCUCACCUGCUUGAUGAAUGCACCAGCCCACUCUCCCAUCCGGGGAGGCCUGUCGGGCAUAAUGAUGUGGAACAUACUUGUUUUCUAUUCAGCUACGAAAGCAGGGUAUUAUCAAAUUUUAAAAGGCAUCGGCCAGGCACUGUGGCACAUACCUGUAAAACCAGGCACUUUGGGAGGCCAAAGUGGGUGGAUCGCUUGAGCCCAGGAGUUCAAGACCAGCCUGGGCAACAUGGCAAAACCCCGUCCCCUCUGCAAAACACACAAAAAUUAGCUGGGGAUGGUGGCACAGGCCUGUAGUCUCAGUUUCUCGGGAAGUUGAAGUGGAAGGAUCACUUGAGCCCGAGAGGCGGAGGUUGCAGUGAGCUGAAAUCCCACCACUGCACUCGGCCUGGCAGCCUGGGCAACAGAGAGAGACACUGCCUCAAAAAAAAUAAAUAAAAGGCAUCGAGAAAAGAAAGGGAGGAAGGGAGGAUUUUGACAAAAAAUUAUCAAUAGUAACAGUGGCGUCUGUGUAACAGGACUAUAGGUUUGGCUUUUUUAUUUAUUUAUUUAUUUAUUUUUUUGAUGGAAUCUUGCUCUGUCGCCCAGGCUGGAGUGCAGUGGUGCGAUCUCGGCUCACUGCAACCUCUGCCUCCCGGUUCAAGCGAUUCUCCUGCCUCAGCCUCCCAAGUAGCUGGGACUACAGGCGCCCGCCACCACGCUCGGCUAAUUUUUUGUAUUCUUAGUAGAGACGGGGUUUCACUGUGUUAGCCAGGAGGGUCUCGAUCUCCUGACCUCCUGAUCCGCCUGCCUCGGCCUCCCAAAGUGCUGAGAUUACAGGCGUGAGCCACCGCGCCUGGCCCCUUCAUGCGUUUUUACACGCUUCAUCCAACCAAUAGUUCAUGGAGGCCUUAGGUGUGUGUUUCCAAAUUUUCUAUGCUGAGUGUGUGUUCUUUGGAAAACCAGAAAAAAU